rnacentral:rRNA from 1 species
UACGUAGGGGGCAAGCGUUGUCCGGAAUCAUUGGGCGUAAAGAGCGUGUAGGCGGUCCGGUAAGUCGGCUGUGAAAGUCCAGGGCUCAACCCUGGGAUGCCGGUCGAUACUGCCGGACUAGAGUUCGGAAGAGGCGAGUGGAAUUCCUGGUGUAGCGGUGAAAUGCGCAGAUAUCGGGAGGAACACCUAUGGCGAAGGCAGCUCGCUGGGACGUUACUGACGCUGAGAUGCGAAAGCGUGGGGAGCAAACAGG